CUAUCAAAAAUUAAUUAUUGUAUGAACUUGCCUCGGAAUCAAUUCUUUAUGUCAUCAAUCAAGAUUGACAGGACUGCACAUUAUGAAGCGUCUGUUCAAUUCUCAAUUUACACGCCAUGAUUGAUAAAUUUCUAUAAGCCUGCCUCAUAAGAAAUCUGCGAUCCUUAUGUUUCAAGGAGAAAGAAGAUGAUCGUGAUGCACCACACAAGGUGGGUACAAUGGUGGGAAAGAACCAGAACAAUCCGUCAUCUGGAAGGCUCAUACCAUCAAAGAGAAAUAUUUUUCUUUCUUGGGUGGAGUGUAGGCAGUUUAGUGGGUAUGCGCCCAGUUUUGCUUGUUCAACAAUGGUAGAUAUACAUUCAGCAUCCAAUAUAUCUUCCAUUGUUGAACAAGCAAAUCAGGGAUAGUGAGUCCCACACAUGGUGAUCCCAUCUUUCAGAUGA